UACGGAGGGGGCUAGCGUUGUUCGGAAUUACUGGGCGUAAAGCGCACGUAGGCGGCGAUCUAAGUCAGGGGUGAAAGCCCGGGGCUCAACCCCGGAAUUGCCCUUGAGACUGGAUUGCUAGAAUCUUGGAGAGGCGAGUGGAAUUCCGAGUGUAGAGGUGAAAUUCGUAGAUAUUCGGAAGAACACCAGUGGCGAAGGCGGCUCGCUGGACAAGUAUUGACGCUGAGGUGCGAAAGCGUGGGGAGCAAAC
rnacentral:rRNA from 1 species